rnacentral:rRNA from 1 species
UACGGAGGAGGCAAGCGUUAUCCGGAAUUAUUGGGCGUAAAGCGUCCGCAGGUGGCACCUCAAGUCUGCUGUCAAAGACCGGGGCUUAACCCCAGAAAGGCAGUGGAAACUGAAGUGCUAGAGUGCAGUAGGGGUAGAGGGAAUUCCCGGUGUAGCGGUGAAAUGCGUAGAGAUCAUGAGGAAGACCAGUGGCGAAGGCGGGUCUCUGGACAGUUCCUGACACUGAGACACGAAGGCCAGGGGAGCAAACGGG